ensembl:lncRNA FER1L6-AS2 FER1L6 antisense RNA 2
GUUUCCUGAAGCCGGCUACCCUGCUUCCUGUUAAGCCUGUGGAACUCUAGUGGACAUCUGAAACCCUAAAACAUCUCAUCUGUGCAAAAAAGAGGAAUGAGCCAGGUCGGGAGAGUGAGAAGCUCGCACCACUUCGAAAGCGUCUGCCUGGAUGCUGAAGUUCGGGUUGUUCUUGUAGCUCUGGAUCACGCAGGACUUCACACCUUGUCCUCCGCACUCAAUGAGAGCCUGAGGCCGAUCCACAGAGAGGAGCUGCACCUUCUUCAUUUCCCGAACUCCCCAGAAGAGAACCUGAGGAAAAGACCAGCAGAGCCAUCACCACAGAUCCACGGAGGAGCCCCACACCUGCCCUGGCUCUGUGUGGAAAAGUUAGACCUGCUCCCUGAGAACCACGCUGUGUUCCUCCAGGAAAGAACUGCACAGCUUUUUGAGGGCUCAUUCUUUUUCUCUAGGUCUCCCGCCCAUUCCAUAUCACCUCUCCUACAAUUCAGGUGGGGCCACUGCCCUUGAGUGCCAAAGAACAACUCAGCUCCUCCGCUGACCCGUACCUCCACUCGGUAUUUGCUCAGCACCGGCCGAAUGUUGGCAGGAACCGGGUAGAUCUGGGUGAUGUCUGGUGGCUCAACGGGUGGGAGGCCUUGCAGCCCAGAAGGAGGAACCUACCGCACAAGGCAAGUAUGAGUUAGAUGCUGGAGAGACACAGGGAAGGCAACAGUGCCACACAACCACCUCAUCAGUAAGAUGUUCACUGUUUUGCCAACAAAAGUAAUGUUUCCAGCUUAAAAUACAAGGACCAUGCAUUUUACCAUAUUUAAUUAUUUAUUAAUUGAUAAAUGCAGUCAUUUACAAGGGUAACCAACAUUUAGCGAGCACUUAAGAUGUACCACAAGGCUAAUAACACAGAGCUCACAGUAUAGAGGGGAGAGAGAAAAACAAAUACGGAAGAUGGUCUUUACAACUUAAUAAAAUUACACAAGAACCACAGCAGGGUAGUGGAGAAGGAGCUUCUAUCAGUUUCCAAACAUUUGAGUCUUAAUGAUCCCCACUCCCUUCGGACUUGUCAAGAUCUCCAGAAAAGCCAUUAUGCACUACUACUGCUACUAAUACUAAUACUACUACUACAAUAAAAGGAUGUACAUUUAAUCCAACAGAGACUGCAUCCUAAUCAGUGAAGCAGAAAAUGAAAUGUUUUGAAGGCAGAUGAAAACUUGUCUCUUCUUGUGCACUUGGGGUUAAUGAAACUUCAGGACAAUUUCAGCUUUGCUGAAAUUUCACACAAAGGACUUACAGAGUUCUACUGAGAAAAGGGUCUUUUUCACUGUGUAGGCCAUCCCACACUGCCCUCAAAACCUGGUUCGACACAUACAUCUUUCAAGAAGGUUUCCCCAAAGAAAACAAAAAAUAAAAGAAGCUUUUUCUGACCCUGUCCCAGCUGCUUCUACCAUUCAAUGCCUUUUGAAUGCAACAUGUCCUUUAUGCAGAUUUUGUGCAGAAAUAGAGGACUGAGUCCAGAAAUAAGGCUCUGCUGUGUGACCCUGCACAAGUAAAUUUCCAUCUCUGAGCCUCAGAUAUUGGGCCAGAUGACCCAUCAAGCUCCUUGGGAAUCAUAUGUUCUAUUAAACAUUGCUUUGGAGCAGGUGGUUCUCCUUACUGGGGCUGUUUGUCUGCCUGAACAAUUUACAGGGACUUGGCCAAUAGGAAGUCUUUAUUUACUUCAUUCUCCAAGCCCCUCCAUGUACAGUGAGUUCUUGAUAGAUGUUUACCGGUUGACUGACAUAUUAGUCCACAUGCUCCGUGUGCUAGAAAAAGCCUAACUGUGCAUCAAAAUCUGCAAAAUGCAAAUAUAUCACCAUUCUGUUUUCACAGACAUAUUCUCGUUGGCAACAGCAGAUGUGGUUAAGCUAAUUACAAGAAAGCUCAGAAAAAGGAGAGCAGACACUGCAAAUGCGCAAUAGGCUUAAGGUAAUGAAGCUGCAGGAUACACCAGCCCAGAUCAAGAAGCUGGUAAAUAAUGAGGAUGGCAAUGCCCAAUACUGCCUGGCAGUGAUGAGAGUCAAUAAUGUCAGCUGAAUUUCUCCAUAAAGGGCUUGACUUAGGGUUGGGCCAGGAAAAGCCAUUACUGAAUGGAGAUCUGGAAGGGAAAUGGAAAGCAAUGGGACAGCAAAGGGAAACACAGCCAGCUCAGCAGGAAGCAAGAUGGGAACUUCAUGGUCUCCAAGGUCUCCGCUCCCCUUCUGUGAUGCUCACUUCUUGACUCCCUCCUGACCUUGACCCAAAGACAGGGGCUGUCAGGAGUACUGCGAGGAGGUGGGGAAGCUUUAGGCAGGCUUCCUGGAACUACUGUUUUACUUAAUAUAUUUGUGCUUCUGCAACCUCAUGAGGAGGUAGAGAUAUUAAAUAAAGAAACAAACCCUUUCCUUUCAUUUUAGACUACCUAAUUUAAGAAAAGAAUAUUUGUGUAAGUUAAAAAAAUCCUCCAGUAAGCUUUGGACUCUAUCCAAGGGUUCAGCACACAAACGUCUUUGGAGAACAAGAGGUUUGGUUCACAUCAUAAAAGAAAAGGGAUAGAGAUUAAAGUGUUGUGAAAGGCGUCGAAGCAACAAGCAAGAGAGAAAGAAACACAGAAAGGCUGAGAAAAUACCCAUCCAUUUCUUUUCAGCCAGGGGAGAUCAGUAAAAACCUCCUGUCUCCAAAAAGCAUGGACAUUUUUAUUAAACAGCAAUAGGACCUGGAAUUAGCUGGAGGCUGGGUACAGUUGCAGGUUGCUUUAUACAAGUAUCACAUUCCUGAAGAAGUGUGUAGACUGACGUUCUGUAAACCAGAUCCAAUUUUAAUUGCCAUUUAAAUGGAAGUCAGUGAAAAACUCUUUUAGUAAAGCAAAUGAUCAUCACCAAUCUUUUUGGUUCUGUGAACUGUUUUCAGAGGUCAAGUUUGCCUCUAGGUACAUCUAGUGUUCUCACCACUCACAGCGUCAGGACUUUAUUUACUUUAAAAUAAAGUGAGUGAGUUCAACGUGGCAUUUUUUAUGAGGUGUGGUCAGCACUGGCCCAGGGGGACACUCACCACAGCGUCGCUGUCAUACAGCUCCACCACCACUAAGGGCGGGGACUCUGCCAGCUCCUUCACAUCUCCAUGCAGCACCAAAUCAUUGAACAGCAGCAUCUGGUUCCAGGUCGGAGAGAGGGUCUGGGAGAUUAUCUGGAAGCAGGGACCAAAGAAAAGCAAAAGAUCAUUCAAUUGAGUUAUAGGGGCUCUAAGGUUCAUUCAUCAAAUACUUAUACAGGGGAAAGAGAACACAUCAUCAUUGUGAUUGCUCACCAUUCAAUAUUCAAGUGACUAUGUAAACUGAGCAGCUACUAUGUACUAAACAAUGCUAGGGAACACAAAGACUCCCAACCGUGGAGAAGCGUACAUUCUUAAGUUUCAUGAGCAGAGCCCCUACAUGUUUAACACCCUCUUUGCAUACAUACUUUCAGCUCAGUCCUCACAGUAGUGCCAAUGAUAACACUAGCCACUUUUUUGAGCAUUUAUGGUGUGCUGAAUUUCACAUGCACUGUCUCAUUCAACCCUCACAAUAAUUCUGGGAGGUAGGUUCAGUUAUUUACACACAUUUUACAGAUCAGGAAACUGAGGCUCACUUGUCCAGAGCCAGCAAGUGGCAGAACUGAGGUUCCACCUGGACCAUCUGGCAGCAAAGCCCAGGCAGGCUGCUAACCUCACCCACUCUCGCCAUGUAGAUGCUAAUAUUAUCCCCAUUUUAUGAAUGAGAACACGGAGGAUUGGGGAGAUUACAUGAUUCUUGACUUAGGAGCAAAUAAAAUUUUGUCAUCAAAUAUCCUGAAGUUGGGUAUUUGACCUAAUAUUCCUUAUGUGGAAUUCUACUGUUUUGUGGUUAUUGACUGAAUUAAAUAGAUCAAGGUUUUCAAAACUGCUCUCACCAUUUUGCAUGACAACUUUCUUACACUGAUAGUAGACUGUACCAUUAUACAGUUGGAGCAGUCAAUGGAUACAGAGGAUAAUAAUCUGCAUAAUUGCCCUCAGACCAUGAGCAUCUUGCCUAGAAGUGGCUUACAGCCCCCUCCUAGGCCAUUUAAGUGGUGCCCUCAGAAGGGAGGGCAUAUUUGGUCUUGCAUUUUCUUCUCUAUUUAAUUGGAUGUUUGGAAACCUGCCAAUUUCACACAGCCGAAGACUGGAGUUGUUUGCGGGGCAAGUGGACUCUGCACCUGGGCAGAAGCUAUUCCAUUAAUGCAGGAGACUAGUCCUGGAAAGAGUUCAAAACCACAUUUCUUUCUCUUCCAGGCAAAUGAGUGAUUUCAUAGGUGAAUGUAUCACAGCAGCUGCUGGGUCCAGGGGAAGUUUCUGAACUGUGCCUUUGUCUGUCACUGUUCAAUCUAGGAGGAAAGUCUAGAGGGAGACCUGGCCUGGACUCCAAAACUCGUAUCAACUGUCAUCUCAGCGUUUUACAUCGAGUCAUUUCUAGUCACAGCAUUAAGUCAUUUGCCCUGUGGUCACAAAGGAAUAUUUUUAUUGCUCUUCUUUAUGUGGGUCAUAAAAAUAUUGUGCAUUUUCA